rnacentral:rRNA from 1 species
AUGGCCCUAAUGGAGAAGGAGGAGGCGGGUCUUGUGUUUGAAGAUCCAACCCCAAUCGCCCAAAAACGUCACAAGUGGGCGGAGGUGGGGAAGGUUUGCUCGCCACGGCCUCUGAAGAUGUCUGUGUUAGAGAAGACGAUGCCGAGGGCAUGGGGAUUGCACCGAGAAGCGAAGAUCCGAGAGAUUGGCCCUAAAAUCAUAUUUGUCCAAUUCGGGAGUGAGGGUGACUGGAGACAUGUACUCAAUAAUGGCCCAUGGCAAUAUGACUUUGUUGUUUUGGUGAUGAAGGACUAUGAAGGCGAGAAGAGGCCAUCGGAGAUGAUUUUUGACAAGGUGGAUGUAUGGGUUAGAGUAUCCGAUCUACCACCUGAUAAGAGGACAGAAGCCUUUGGGAGGGCUUUGGGGAACUGGCUGGGUGAGACCAUUAAGGUCGAUGUGGAUAGGGAAGGAGUGGCACGUGGAAACCAACUUCGGGUUCGUACGAAGAUCUCUAUGUUUGAGCCACUGGUUCGAGGCUUCUACCUGAAGAAAAAGAAGGAUGAUCAGGAGAAGACUUGGUUCGAGUUUACAUAUGAGAAGAUCCCUCACUUUUGUUUUGACUGUGGAAGGCUGGUUCAUGUGAAUGGUGUUUGUGCCCCCCCAGUAGAACAGGCGGCCUAA